rnacentral:rRNA from 1 species
AAGACCUUGCGCUUUUGGAGCGGCCGAUGCCUGAUUAGCUUGUUGGUAAGGUAAAAGCUUACCAAGGCUUCGAUCAGUAGCUGGUCUGAGAGGACGGCCAGCCACACUGGGACUGAGACACGGCCCAGACUCCUACGGGAGGCAGCAGUGGGGAAUUUUGGACAAUGGGGGCAACCCUGAUCCAGCCAUGCCGCGUGAGUGAAGAAGGCCUUCGGGUUGUAAAGCUCUUUCAGCCGGAACGAAACGGUUACGGUUAAUACCCGUGAUUACUGACGGUACCGGAAGAAGAAGCACCGGCUAACUACGUGCCAGCAGCCGCGGUAAUACGUAGGGUGCGAGCGUUAAUCGGAAUUACUGGGCGUAAAGCGUGCGCAGGUGGUUUUGUAAGUCAGAUGUGAAAGCCCCGGGCCCAACCUGGGAACU